rnacentral:pre_miRNA from 1 species
CAAGUACUCCCUCCGUCCGGAUUUACUUGUCAUCAAAAUGGAUGUGUCUAGAACUAAAAUACAUCUACAUACAUCCAUUUCAAUGACAAGUAUUUUCGGACGGAGGGAGUACAAG